GAUGAACGCUGGCGGCGUGCUCAACACAUGCGAGUCGAACGGAAAGGCCCAAGCUUGCUUGGGUACUCGAGUGGCGAACGGGUGAGUAACACGUGGGUGAUCUGCCCUGCACUUCGGGAUAAGCCUGGGAAACUGGGUCUAAUACCGGAUAGGACCACAUUUUGGAUGGUGUGGUGGAAAGUUUUUCGGUGUGGGAUGAGCUCGCGGCCUAUCAGCUUGUUGGUGGGGUAAUGGCCUACCAAGGCGUCGACGGGUAGCCGGCCUGAGAGGGUGUACGGCCACAUUGGGACUGAGAUACGGCCCAGACUCCUACGGGAGGCAGCAGUGGGGAAUAUUGCACAAUGGGCGCAAGCCUGAUGCAGCGACGCCGCGUGGGGGAUGACGGCCUUCGGGUUGUAAACUCCUUUCGCUAGGGACGAAGCGUUAUGUGACGGUACCUGGAGAAGAAGCACCGGCUAACUACGUG
rnacentral:rRNA from 1 species